rnacentral:lncRNA from 1 species
AUUAGUAUAAUAAGUAAGAUUUAGAUUAGGAAAUAUUUUAAAAAGAAUGCUAUGUUAGUAAUAUUUUUUGAGUUCGACUACUAUACUCUUAUAUGAGUAUAAGCUCUUUUGUACUCAUAAGUUUUCGGCCGUUAUAUCUACCCCAUUGAUCAUUUUUAUCCGUUAGAUCAUACUAUUCAACCAACUACCCACUCAACCCUAUGGACCACUAUCAUUCUAAUCGGGGACCACUAUUAUUAUAACCGCACAUUCUUUCAUCCAACGGCCAAAAAUUUAUGAGUACAAAAGAGUAUAUACUCAUAAGAGUAUUGUCAUGCCUCGGAGUCCCUUUAAAUUUAAAAGCCAAUGCGAAAGUGCCCAAUUUUUUUUUAAAAAAAAAACCUUGACCCCAGAGUAUGUUAGAUCUCCCACAAAUAUAGAGAAUUUACUGUUCACACGGAGAGAGUCUCUCUUGUAUUUGCACGGUGUCGCACAAGUACAAAAUACAGCCACAACAGUAUGAACAUCCACAUACAUAUACCACAUUACAUUUACCAUUCAUUCCAUCACAGAUAAAUAUAAAUUUACACCUAUUAGUUUAAAAUGUUUCCUAUCCGAAAACUCACUUUGAAACACUAAGAGUCAUGAAAAUCAAGAAAACCUUUUUAAAACCGUUUCCCAUAUGUGAACAUUUUCUUUUAAAAUAUGCUACCACGAGGGGUAGAAAACCGUUUUCAUUUUAUAAGAAAUCCAUAUAUACUUAUUACAUUCACAAAAUCUGAUAUAUCCAAUUAACGUGAAACAAACUGAACCAUAAAUACUAAGUCAAUUAUUUAAGAAGGUGA